rnacentral:lncRNA from 1 species
GAGAUAAUAAAUUAGUAAGAAAAGAAGAAAAAGAAAGGAAAAUGGUGAAGAAGAAAACAUCAAGGUUUCAGUAAGGAAUCUAGUAUUACCUUCAAUGUCUUAAGGAGUAUUUUUAGAUAAGCAAAUAUAAUAUGAUUGUUAUUCUGUCUGUUUUGCAUGCCUCUGUGUUUAAAUUAGUCGAAUUGUUCUGAUUUUCAAGCAUCUAUGUGAAUUACAA